rnacentral:rRNA from 1 species
GACGAACGCUGGCGGCGUGCCUAAUACAUGCAAGUAGAACGCUGAAGAGAGGAGCUUACUCUUCUUGGAUGAGUUGCGAACGGGUGAGUAACGCGUAGGUAACCUGCCUUGUAGCGGGGGAUAACUAUUGGAAACGAUAGAUAAUACCGCAUAACAAUGGAUGACACAUGUCAUUUAUUUGAAAGGGGCAAUUGCUCCACUACAAGAUGGACCUGCGUUGUAUUAGCUAGUAGGUGAGGUAAUGGCUCACCUAGGCGACGAUACAUAGCCGACCUGAGAGGGGGAUCGGCCACACUGGGACUGAGACACGGCCCAGACUCCUACGGGAGGCAGCAGUAGGGAAUCUUCGGCAAUGGGGGCAACCCUGACCGAGCAACGCCGCGUGAGUGAAGAAGGUUUUCGGAUCGUAAAGCUCUGUUGUAAGUCAAGAACGGGUGUGAGAGUGGAAAGUUCACACUGUGACGGUAGCUUACCAGAAAGGGACGGCUAACUACGUG